rnacentral:rRNA from 1 species
GACGAACCACACGAACGUUAUUCGGAAUUACUGGGCUUAAAGGGUGCGUAGGCGGCGCAGAAAGUUGGGUGUGAAAUCCCUCGGCUCAACCGAGGAACUGCGCCCAAAACUACUGUGCUUGAGGAAGAUAGAGGUAAGCGGAACUUACGGUGGAGCGGUGAAAUGCGUAGAUAUCGUAAGGAAGACCAGUGGCGAAAGCGAAUCUCUGGGCAGCAGCCGACGCUGAGGCACGAAAGCGUGGGGAGCAAACAGG